AGUCACUGACAUUAGAUACCCGGGUAGUCCCAGCCGUAAACAAUGUGCGUUAGGUGUGUCGGUAACCACGCGUUACUGAUGCGCCGAAGAGAAAUCGUGAAACGCACCACCUGGGAAGUACGGUCGCAAGGCUGAAACUUAAAGGAAUUGGCGGGGAGCACCACAACGGGUGGAGCCUGCGGUUUAAUUGGAUUCAACGCCGGACAUCUCACCGGAUAAGACAGCUGAAUGAUUGUCAAUCUGAAGGUUUUACAUGACUAGCUG
rnacentral:rRNA from 1 species